GAAGAGGAAGAGUUGUGGUCACCAUCACCACCAGAAACAGCCUUAUCAGCAUCGCUUGCUGGACCUGCGGCAACGCUGGAAGAGGAUUGUGAGAAGAGGAGUCAGAGGAGGAAUGUGGCUUUGAGGAGGAGGAGGAAGACCAACCACAACAGGCAUCCCAGGGUGUUCGUUGUCGCCUAUCUGGUACCCGUGGUGUUGUAUGUGGCUGGG